rnacentral:tRNA from 1 species
UAUUAUAUCUAUAGUAAAAAAAAAUAGUUUCGACCUAUUAAACCUAUAAGGAUACUAU